UAAGGGUCGGUGCAGGAUCUUUCAAGCAGCAACCUCGAAGUCCAGGUGCUUGCCCGUACGGCGCCACUUUUUCUCCUUGUGUCUUCCUUGAUCGUCAUGCCUUGCCGGCGCUUUUACCGGUGAGAAAAAACUUAUUGAGGAAUCCAACAUGGAAACCGGUACCGUCAAGUGGUUCAACGAUUCGAAGGGUUUUGGCUUCAUUACGCCUGAUGCAGGCGGCAACGACCUGUUCGCGCACUUCUCCGAAAUCCAGGGCAGCGGCUUCAAGUCGCUGGCAGAAGGCCAGAAGGUGCGUUACGUUGCCGGCGUCGGCCAGAAGGGCCCGGCCGCGACCAAGAUCGAGCCGAUCUGAAUUGCACCGCAUCCAUUAGGCUGAGCGCCCCAGCGCCAGUUCGAUGAAAAAAAGCUCCGCCAUGGCGGAGCUUUUUUG
rnacentral:sRNA from 1 species